rnacentral:rRNA from 1 species
UACGUAGGGGGCGAGCGUUAUCCGGAUUUAUUGGGUGUAAAGGGUGCGUAGACGGGAAUGCAAGUUAGUUGUGAAAUCCCUCGGCUUAACUGAGGAACUGCAACUAAAACUGUAUUUCUUGAGUGCAGGAGAGGAAAGUGGAAUUCCUAGUGUAGCGGUGAAAUGCGUAGAUAUUAGGAGGAACACCAGUGGCGAAGGCGACUUUCUGGACUGUAACUGACGUUGAGGCACGAAAGUGUGGGGAGCAA